CAUCGUAUUUCCAACAUCACUUCCCUUGGCUUUCCCAUUGUGGACCUGAGGAGGGCGGCGUGUGGCGGUUAAUUAAAAAAAAAACUCACCGAUCCGAUCCGAUAAGAAAAGGCCCAAAUCCACAUCCAAAAGCGACUCGCCUGGCCCGAGUACCAGUUCUAACGGCGGCGGUGAAUUUAGUAGGCAGACUCCGCAAGCUCAGCUUGAGACGCCGGCGAAGUACGUGAGCUCGUCUACAAAGAAGUCGUCUGCGUCCGCAUUGGGGGCGGCGGAGCCGGCGGCUUUGGUGUCUCCCAUUAUGGCGCCGUCGUUGGGGUUGAAUAGGAUAAAGACGAGAUCAGGGCCGUUGCCGCGUGAGAGCUUUUUUGGGUUAUAGGUGUCACCCCCUUCAACCAGUCGUAUCUAUGUCUUUUUUCAUGUCAUUUUUCAAGAAGAUUAUUUUCCUUUUACUAACUUGAAGGUCUCUUAUGAAUCUCCAACCGUUUUGUUAGAUAUUCAGCCCCUCUGCAGCCCCCGUUGCCGAGCACAGGCCCACUGCCUUUUUUUCCUCCGCAGGUCCAUUCUCUAACCAUCGACCUACUGAGCCGACCUCCCAACUCACGGGCUGCAGCUGUAUCAUUUCUUUCUACCACUCUACACGCUACGUCCACUGCAGCUGCACCGACUGCACCUCCACACGUGCCCCUGCCAUCUACACCGACUGCAUCGUUUCCCUCCCAUAAGUCAGCACCUUCACCACCACUGGCGAAGCUACAAAGGAACACCCUUGCCAGAAAUCAAGCCUAGGAGCGGUGGUUUCGCCCCUCUGGUCCCGUCGGAGGUGAUGGCUGCUCAGCCCGCUCUCUGGUUUUCUGCUACUAUGCAGCACAGUGUUAUAAUUUUAUUUUUUAUUUUUAAAAAUCGUAAAGUAAAACGACGCCGUUUCGUUUAGUGAUUUGAAAAAAAGUUAAAGUGGGAUGACAUCUGACCGUUUAGCGCGUUUCCCUAUUUCCAAAACAAAUCAGAGCGCGUAAUCGAGCUCUUUCCGUCUCCCCUCCUCCCAACCUCAAACGCUAAAAGGUGUCUGAUGCUUCAUCGUCGUCGUCGAACAACGGAAUUACGAGUGGGUCGCCGACAGAGUUUGAUGGUCUUUCUCCACACAUCUCCAGGUGUUUGAUGGUCUUCCUCCAUCUGUCUCUCGUACAGCUUUUUGCUAGUCUUUAUACGCACUCCAUGUGUUUGAUUUAAUGCCUCAAAGAAUUAUCUGACGAAUCAGUCCCCAGGGGCAAUGUGAAUCAAAAUGAGAAUGAAAAUGGUGGUAAUUCUGAGUAUACCAUUGUUGGUGUUGAGGUAGCUAACGAGGAAAGUAAGGGUAAUAGAGAUGAAGGGGAGGUAACAAAAUGUUUGGUACAAAGGUAUUAAACUUGGUCUAGGGGAUUUCGUUUUCUACACUGUUCUUGUGCAGAGCUGCAAUGUAUGACCUCAUGACUGUGUAUGCCUGUUAUCUUGCCAUUAUUUCGAGACUCUAAGUGCACUCUUA